UACAGAGGUCCCAAGCGUUGUUCGGAUUCACUGGGCGUAAAGGGCGUGUAGGCGGUCGGCCAAGUCUGAUGUGAAAGCCCGAGGCUCAGCCUCGGAAGUGCGUCGGAAACUAGUCGGCUGGAGCGCGAUAGAGGAGGGUGGAAUUCCUGGUGUAGCGGUGAAAUGCGUAGAUAUCAGGAGGAACACCGGCGGCGAAGGCGGCCCUCUGGAUCGUUGCUGACGCUGAUACGCGAAAGCGUGGGGAGCAAACAGG
rnacentral:rRNA from 1 species